GUGUGUGUGUGUGUGUGUAACUUUUAAGUUAGUGUGACAUUGCAAGUGUUCUACGAGGUCACGGGAAUUUCUAGCAUUAUUACCUAAAACAUCAAGCAGAUAGAAUACUGAACAGAGAAAGGAUCAGCCAGUAGUAGCAAGAAAUCAACAAAUGAGAAAAGGUAAAGUUCAUAAGUGAAAUUUAAAAUACAAUUUCCCAAUGCAGAAUGAAGGACAUAUCAGCUAAUAACUGUCAACAUUAGACAAAAUAAUAGGUAAUGAGGAGAAGACUAUACCAAACACAAGCCCUGUAAUCAUGACUUCAAGAAACAAAAUGCAAUAAAAUAUAUAUGAUCUUAUUUAUCCAUCUCCACAUAUUCAUAAAACUAACUAAAGAUUCCAAUCGGUAAAGAAUGGGAAUUAAUAUUAUUAAAUCUCUCUCUAAGUAUAGCGUGGAUUCUUUUCUCUUCAUCUUUCAGCUUAUAUAGAUAAGAUAAAGUAACAGUUAAUUGGAUCAUAAAGGUACCUGUGCUAGAAAGGGGUAAAUAGUGAAUGAAAUCCUAGUGAAGCUGAAGGUUAUGGUCCUCAUUUAUGAGAUGGACAAUGCAAAGAGAGAGGAAGGAAAGAAAUAAAAUAAAGAGAAGUUAUCUAACAUCUACAAAGGACAACAUAAAAGAAAUCAAACAACCCUCCACAAAACAAAAGAAAGGGCAAAGUCAUUAUGCUAAGUCCUAUUAAUAACAACUGGAAGUUAAACCAAACAUCGAACCACAUUAUCAUAGUCUAGCCUCUUCUUGAAUUCAUGGAGUUAAUUCGGUUUAGAGCCUAAACUACAAAUUCCGGGUAACAGUAAGCAUCCAAAGUUAUCCCACUGACCACAAUGAUGAGUUCUCAAACUUUCACCUCAUAUAUUUAACCUGCAAUAAUCUGAAUUAAUACUCUAA
rnacentral:misc_RNA from 1 species